UACAGAGGUCCCAAGCGUUGUUCGGAUUCACUGGGCGUAAAGGGUGCGUAGGUGGCUACGAUAAGUUUGAUGUGAAAGCUCCGGGCUCAACCCGGAAAUGGCAUUGAAGACUAUUGAGCUAGAGGUUUGGAGGGGGGACUGGAAUGCUUGGUGUAGCAGUGAAAUGCGUAGAUAUCAAGCGGAACACCGGUGGCGAAGGCGAGUCCCUGGACAACACCUGACACUGAGGCACGAAAGCUAGGGGAGCAAACAGG
rnacentral:rRNA from 1 species